GGGAGCCCUUCCAGAAAUUCUCAAAGGCCAUAGGUCAAGCCCAGGCCCAUGAGGGGGUUUGGAAAUAGUUUUCAACCAGCAAUAGACGCGCCUCGGUUAGUACCUCAUUAGCUGCGUCAUUAUAGCACUAGCUUUUGAGGAUGUGAGAUUUUUUUUAUAGCACUAGCUUUUUGUGCUCUAAAGUCACACAAGCGAUGUGGGACAAAAUAGACGCACACCAUUAUACUCCAGUUUUGGGCCUCAAAAUAUGGGCCUCGGAAACACUUGCUACUUAAUUAUCCGCUUUAUCGGGUUCUCUUCAUUU